AUGAGAUCCGUGGCAGCCGAUCUGGAGGAGGUCGCUCGACACGACGACGAUGUUCCCCUCCCUCACCCUUCUGACUUUCUGCCUUCUUUUUUCCUGACGACCAGGCCCCCCCGCGUGAGUGGAUCUGGGAUUGGCAGGUGGCCAAAUCCGACAUCCGGCAUCGCGGGUGACGGACGGCGGGCAGUGCGGGCGGCGACGCCGUGCAGUUCGCCAUGCGCCCAUGGCAGCACCACCUUCCUCCCCUCCACCUACCUCCCUCGUCGCCAGGGCGUUCGUCGCGCUGGCCACCACCCGUCUCACCACCACCAGCGCCUUCUCCCUCUGCGCUGCGAGGGACAGGGAGAUGCACCGCCACAGCACUAG
rnacentral:rRNA from 1 species